rnacentral:rRNA from 1 species
UACGUAGGGUGCAAGCGUUGUCCGGAAUUAUUGGGCGUAAAGAGCUCGUAGGCGGUCUGUCGCGUCGGCUGUGAAAACUCGGGGCUCAACUCCGAGCCUGCAGUCGAUACGGGCAGGCUAGAGUUCGGUAGGGGAGAUCGGAAUUCCUGGUGUAGCGGUGAAAUGCGCAGAUAUCAGGAGGAACACCGGUGGCGAAGGCGGAUCUCUGGGCCGAUACUGACGCUGAGGAGCGAAAGCGUGGGGAGCGAACAGG